UAUAACGGUAAUUUUGCACCUAGGGGUAUAACAGUAAUUUUCCAUACAUAGGGGUAUUAUAGUAAUUUAGCUACUUUUAGGGUUUUCAUGCAUAUCCUAACUAUUUACGUACUAUCAGAACACUUACCGCGCAUACUUACGGAAUUGGGCCCGUUGGCCCAUGAACCCGAUCUUUGGCCCAUUAAGCCCAAAUUAUCAAAAUGUACGAAACCGCGCGUACUGCAGUUUAUUACUUUAGAUUACCAAAUAUACAAACCCAACUAUCUUACAAGCAUUCGCACACUCGCAAAUUCC
rnacentral:lncRNA from 1 species